rnacentral:ncRNA from 2 species
AGCACCGUUGCGGGAGUGCGCAUGCACGCCACACCAACCGAAGGUGCAAGCGCCCGGAAUCGCUCAGGAAAAAGGAUCGCAAGGCCGGA